rnacentral:misc_RNA from 1 species
GCAAACUUGGUCAUUUAGAGGAAGUAAAAGUCGUAACAAGGUUUCCGUAGGUGAACCUGCGGAAGGAUCAUUAACGAGUUAGGGUCUUCUAGGCCCGACCUCCCAACCCUAUGUUUAUUGAACCUCUGUUGCUUCGGCGGGCCCGUCUCACGACCGCCGGAGGAGUCGCCGCGAGGCGGCCCUCUGGCCAGCGCCCGCCGACGGCCAAAUUCAAACUCUGAAUAAAUCGUGUCAUGAUGUCUAAGUCUAUGAUUAAAUUAACGCAAAACUUUCAACAACGGAUCUCUUGGUUCUGGCAUCGAUGAAGAACGCAGC